rnacentral:rRNA from 1 species
CACGUAGGAGGCGAGCGUUGUCCGGAAUCAUUGGGCGUAAAGAGCGCGCAGGCGGCUUGGCAAGUCGGGUGUGAAAGUCCCGGGGCUCAACCCCGGGACUGCAUUCGAUACUGUCAGGCUAGAGGUAGGGUAGGGGAGAUCGGAAUUCCUGGUGUAGCGGUGGAAAUGCGCAGAUAUCAGGGAGGAAACACCGGUGGGCGAAGGCGGGUCUCUGGGCCGAUACUGACGCUGAGGAGCGAAAGCGUGGGGAGCGAACAG